rnacentral:rRNA from 1 species
UAGGCGGGAAUGUGUUGUGUAGCGGUGAAAUGCUUAGAUAUAACACAGGAACACCAAUUGCGAAGGCAGCUUACUGGGAUACAACUGACGCUGAGGCACGAAAGCGUGGGGAUCAAACAGGAUUAGAUACCCUGGUAGUCCACGCAGUAAACGAUGAAUACUAGCUGUAUGCGAUAUACUGUAUGUGGCAAAGCGAAAGCGUUAAGUAUUCCACCUGGGGAGUACGUUCGCAAGAAUGAAACUCAAAGGAAUUGACGGGGGCCCGCACAAGCGGAGGAACAUGUGGUUUAAUUCGAUGAUACGCGAGGAACCUUACCCGGGCUUGAAAUGCAGAGGAAUGACUUGGAAACAGGUCCGCCAGCAAUGGUCUCUGUGUAGGUGCUGCAUGGUUGUCGUCAGCUCGUGCCGUGAGGUGUCGGCUUAAGUGCCAUAACGAGCGCAACCCCUAUCAUUAGUUACUAACAGGUUACGCUGAGGACUCUAGUGAGACUGCCACCGUAAGGUGUGAGGAAGGUGGGGAUGACGUCAAAUCAGCACGGCCCUUACGUCCGGGGCGACACACGUGUUACAAUGGGGGGUACAGAGGGUUGCUACUUGGUGACAAGAUGCUAAUCUCUUAAAGCCUCUCUCAGUUCGGAUCGAAGUCUGCAACUCGACUUCGUGAAGCUGGAUUCGCUAGUAAUCGCGCAUCAGCCAUGGCGCGGUGAAUACGUUCCCGGGCCUUGUACACACCGCCCGUCAAGCCAUGGAAGCUGGGGGGACCUGAAGUACGUAACCGUAAGGAGCGUCCUAGGGUAAAACUAGUAACUGGGGCUAAGUCGUAACAAGGUAAAGG